AUAUUUACUUUGUAGGGGAGAUACCGUGAUCCCGAAAGUGGUUUUUCCAGAGCGAGUCUUAUCUAUUGCACUGGAAAUGUGCUGACCCUUGCGAUUUCCCUAGAUGUGGGAAACUCGAUUGCGUAAUUGUGGUAGUGGGGGACUGCGUUCGCGCUUUACUCUG
ensembl:snRNA U1 U1 spliceosomal RNA